rnacentral:rRNA from 1 species
AGAGUUUGAUCCUGGCUCAAAUUGAACGCUGGCGGCGUGCUUUACACAUGCAAGUCGAGCGGCAGCACGACCUUCGGGUUGGUGGCGAGCGGCGAACGGGUGAGUAAUACAUCGGAACGUACCUUUUAGUUGGGGAUAACGCAUCGAAAGAUGUGCUAAUACCGAAUAAUCUCUGAGGAGGAAAGGCGGGGAUCGGAAACGACCUGUCGCUGAAAGAGCGGCCGAUGGCCGAUUAGCUAGUUGGCGGGGUAAAAGCCCACCAAGGCGACGAUCCAUAGCUGGUCUGAAAAGAUGAUCAGCCACACUGGGACUGAGACACGGCCCACACUCCUACGGGAGGCAGCAGUGGGGAAUAUUGGACAAUGGGCGCAAGCCUGAUCCAGCCAUGCCGCGUGAGUGAUGAAGGCCUUAGGGUUGUAAAGCUCUUUCAGUGGGGACGAUAAUGACGGUACCCACAGAAGAAGCCCCGGCUAACUUCGUGCCAGCAGCCGCGGUAAUACGAAGGGGGCUAGCGUUGUUCGGAUUUACUGGGCGUAAAGCGCACGUAGGCGGAUCGUUAAGUCGGGGGUGAAAUCCUGGAGCUCAACUCCAGAACUGCCUUCGAUACUGGCGAUCUUGAGUCCAGAAGAGGUGAGUGGAACUCCUAGUGUAGAGGUGGAAUUCGUAUAUAUUAAGAAAGACACCAGUGGCGAGGGCGGCUCACUGGUCCUGUACUGACGCUGAGGUGCGAAAGCGUGGAGAGCAAACAGGAUUACAUACCCUGAUAGUCCACGCCGUAAACUAUGACAGCUAGCCGUUGGGGAAAAUUUUAUCCUCUCAGUGGACGCAGCUAACGCAUCAGCCUCUCCGCCUUGGGAGGAGUAACGGUCGCAAUGAUAUACUCGAAGGUAAUUGACGCGCCCGGACAGUCGGUAAACAUGGGUCAAUCGAAGCAACGACGAUGCAUUCUUUAAGCCA